AACCGCCGUAUACCGAACGGUACGUACGGUGGUGUGAGAGGUCGGAAAACAAAAUAAUUGUUUUCCUCCUACUCGAU
rnacentral:ncRNA from 2 species